rnacentral:lncRNA from 1 species
CUUUAAAGUAUACUCAAUUUCAGCCAUUCUGUUCCAAUUUAUCUCCAGAGAGUAGAGGGCCUGCCGUAUCUAUGUUAUAGGAUACCCAACUUGUCAUAUGGAUCUAAUAUGAAGCAUAUUUACGUAAAGACGUAUAAAAGUGAAUUAAAGAUGCAUAUUACAAAGAUGGAAUGGGAAAUUAUUGGGUUUUCACUUUGUCAACCUUGUCAAAGCCAUGAUUUCAGUAGUGUUUUUGACGAAAACAUCACCUUAGUACUAAUCAAACUUCUAAUAUAUCCCCCCCAGGGUGGUGUCCAUAUCGUCACAAAUCUUGCUUAUCAAACCAGGUGAGGGCAAAAUUAUAAUUUUGUUAAACUUCUCGAUUUAGUACAAAUUCAGCACAAAAAACUGCUGGGGAUUCGCUUUUUCUUAAAAGGCGAGUAUUAUGCUCUGACUUAGGACUAUGAAAACCUUAUCUGACUUUAGACUUAGUUUUAAUGUUUUUCUAAAACGUUGUAUUUCGUAUCUAGUAUAAUGCCUCGGGUUUCUGUGGACACAAUCUAUUCGGGCAUAAAAUUUGAGCCAAAGUCACUUUGAAUAUGAAUUAUGAUAAAUAUUAUUAAACUUUUGACUUAACAAAUAUUCUUUUUCAAUUGUCAUCUUUUUGAGUAUUCUGAGAAAAAUCAUUUUAUGAAAUAAAAUUUGAGCCAGAAUGAGUUUCAAUUUAUAUUAAUUAUUAUUAAAAUUUUACCCGAAAUUCUUUUGAACUGCCUUUUAAUUGAGUAUACAUAAAGAUAACUCAUUUUAUGAAAUAAACUUUAGGACUAACAUUCGCUUUGGACAUCAUUGUUGCCAAACCCUUUAGAUGUUAUUUUACAUACCAAAAAUACAGAUCUAAAU